GAUCCUGGCUCAGGAUGAACGCUAGCUACAGGCUUAACACAUGCAAGUCGAGGGGAAACGAUAUUGGAAGCUUGCUUCCGAUAGGCGUCGACCGGCGCACGGGUGAGUAACGCGUAUCCAACCUGCCCAUCACUUGGGGAUAACCUUGCGAAAGUAAGACUAAUACCCAAUGACGUCUCUAGAAGACAUCUGAAAGAGAUUAAAGAUUUAUCGGUGAUGGAUGGGGAUGCGUCUGAUUAG
rnacentral:rRNA from 1 species